CAAGACCGCGUGGGGGAGGAAAGCCUUUGGGUUGUAAACCCCUUUUCUCAGGGAAGAAGAAAGUGACGGUACCUGAGGAAUCAGCCUCGGCUAACUCCGUGCCAGCAGCCGCGGUAAUACGGAGGAGGCAAGCGUUAUCCGGAAUGAUUGGGCGUAAAGCGUUCGUAGGUGGCAAUUCAAGUCUGCUGUCAAAGACAGUAGCUCAACUACUGCAAGGCAGUGGAAACUGAAUAGCUAGAGUGCGGUAGGGGCAGAGGGAAUUCCCGGUGUAGCGGUGAAAUGCGUAGAGAUCGGGAAGAACACCGGUGGCGAAAGCGCUCUGCUGGGCCACAACUGACACUGAGGGACGAAAGCUAGGGGAGCGAAAGGGAUUAGAUACCCCUGUAGUC
rnacentral:rRNA from 1 species